GUCUGCCACCACCUUCACAAAAAAGCGUGUGCCAAAAAUCGGAAAACAGGCCGAACUAACCACAUGCAGAAUCACAUUUGCGUCUGCUGGCCGCUAGAGGAGCUCCGUUCAAUCGAUGAAACGAGAGAAAACGGGCCCAAAAAAUCGGUGCUGCUUUAACUGAUUGGCUGAGAAACGAAACAAGGAGAAUUGAAGAAUAGCUGUACACCAAAGAAAAAAGGUUUCGGGUUCUUCCUAAGAACAAGCGACCAGAACCAAUAGAGUGGACAGUACUGUUGCCUGUUGCGGUCAACAUUUCUCUCUUUUUAUUUUAUGGACGUGACCUGGAUCCGCCCAACCGCUCAACAAACCGCUCUAGUUCGUUCCCUUCAUUCACGUAGACCAAUGUGUGCCCACCCGUUGCUAUUUGCGCCAUUCGUUGCGUCGUGUUGUCCCGAACGGCGACUCAGUGACUGACCACCCUCGGAAUAUUACUCAAAACAUAAAUUACCCUCCAUCUCUCCCGCUGAUUCAGGCUCUAUAAGGUUUUACACCUGAAUCUCAAUCACCCCCCUCCAAAAAAAAAACAUGUCGAUCCCCGUUAUACAAUAAUAUACGUGGUGUGUUCGUGAUAGACGGUCAUCAAGGUAGUGAUGUCCCGACGGCGAUUUUUUAGUCCAGUCCGACCAUAUCACGGAAGAGUUGAAAAGAGAUUCUUCUUCUUGUAGAAAAACCAUCAAGUUGGGCACGCCAUGUUAGCCCUAGAGCAUUAGAGCUCUACGUAUGGCUAGGUCACACAACGACAGAGGGAAUUUGAAAGGAAGACCACGGUGAUGGCGCCAAGAUGCUGACCCCAGAAGAUUUUCAUCUUGCAGCUUUCACAAUCGCAAAAAUACACACACACGUGUAUAUAUAUAUAACAUGACAAAAGCAUUUUCCUUCAGUGCACAUAGAGCUUUUCGUGUUUUGAAGAAAUGACAUUGCUAAGCAAAUGAUUAUGCAUCCAUUUGGUCGACUAUGCAAAUCUAUUUCCCUUUGCUGGCGCAUUUUCGCUUUAUGUAGUCCCUGUACAAUAUUUUGAAUUGUACAGACCCUGCACGAAUAAUUAGCGUUCAUUUUAUUAUUACAAAAAAAAAACCAAAAAAAAAUUAGAGUGGAAAUUAGUGUCUGUUGCUUUUUGGGUGGCGAGGUCGAAUGUUUAAAUUUAAUUUUUCCAAAAUAUUUUUAUAGAGGCAAAGGCUAGGUAGAGAUUUGAACGAGCGUGCGUGAAGCUAGACUUAGUCUUGCAGAGCCCUCAAGUGACGGAGGGGAGGAAACAAUAGAAAGACGGGGGUCUCUCAUCAUCUCCAUUUGAAGCGGGUGAACGGAGAUGAAGAAGGUUGAAGGAAAUAACGGGACUAUUGAAGCUGUACAGAAGAGAAUUACAGCCAAAG
rnacentral:lncRNA from 1 species